rnacentral:rRNA from 1 species
UACAGAGGGUGCUAGCGUUGUUCGGAAUCAUUGGGCGUAAAGGGCGCGUAGGCGGCCUUCUAAGUCAGACGUGAAAUCCCCCGGCUUAACCUGGGAACUGCGUCUGAUACUGGAGGGCUUGAGUGCGGGAGAGGGAUGUGGAAUUCCAGGUGUAGCGGUGAAAUGCGUAGAUAUCUGGAGGAACACCGGUGGCGAAGGCGGCAUCCUGGACCGACACUGACGCUGAGGCGCGAAAGCUAGGGUAGCAAACGGG